CAGCCUCAGGAUUCGGUCCCGCCUCCUGGGAUCAUGUAGUAAAUUUUGUUGUCAGAAGGGGGUCAUGGUGCAAUGGCAUUUGAAAACCUCUUAUUCUAACCAAUUAU